UACGGGGGGGGCAAGCGUUGUUCGGAAUUACUGGGCGUAAAGCGUGCGCAGGCGGCUUCUCAAGUCAGGGGUGAAAGCCCAGAGCUCAACUCUGGAAUUGCCUUUGAGACUGAGGAGCUUGAGUACGGGAGAGGUGAGUGGAAUUCCCAGUGUAGAGGUGAAAUUCGUAGAUAUUGGGAAGAACACCAGUGGCGAAGGUGGCUCACUGGCCCGUAACUGACGCUCAUGCACGACAGCGUGGGGAUCAAACAGG
rnacentral:rRNA from 1 species